ACGGGAGGCAGCAGUGGGGAAUAUUGCACAAUGGGGGAAACCCUGAUGCAGCGACGCCGCGUGAGUGAAGAAGUAUUUCGGUAUGUAAAGCUCUAUCAGCAGGGAAGAUAAUGACGGUACCUGACUAAGAAGCCCCGGCUAACUACGUGCCAGCAGCCGCGGUAAUACGUAGGGGGCAAGCGUUAUCCGGAUUUACUGGGUGUAAAGGGAGCGUAGGCGGCCGAGCAAGUCAGAAGUGAAAACCCAGGGCUCAACUCUGGGAUUGCUUUUGAAACUGUCCGGCUAGAUUUCAGGAGAGGUAAGCGGAAUUCCUAGUGUAGCGGUGAAAUGCGUAGAUAUUAGGAGGAACACCAGUGGCGAAGGCGGCUUACUGGACUGACAAUGACGCUGAGGCUCGAAAGCGUGGGGAGCAAACAGGAUUAGAUACCCUGGUA
rnacentral:rRNA from 1 species